rnacentral:rRNA from 1 species
AAAACAUGCCUACGGGAGGCAGCAGUGGGGAAUAUUGGACAAUGGGCGCAAGCCUGAUCCAGCCAUGCCGCGUGAGUGAUGAAGGCCUUAGGGUUGUAAAGCUCUUUCGCCGGUGAAGAUAAUGACGGUAACCGGAGAAGAAGCCCCGGCUAACUUCGUGCCAGCAGCCGCGGUAAUACGAAGGGGGCUAGCGUUGCUCGGAAUCACUGGGCGUAAAGCGCACGUAGGCGGGGCGUUAAGUCAGAGGUGAAAUCCUGGAGCUCAACUCCAGAACUGCCUUUGAUACUGGCGCCCUAGAGUUCGAGAGAGGUUGGUGGAACUCCGAGUGUAGAGGUGAAAU